rnacentral:rRNA from 1 species
GACGAACGCUGGCGGCGUGCCUAACACAUGCAAGUCGAAGGAAAGGCCCUGCUUUUGUGGGGUGCUCGAGUGGCGAACGGGUGAGUAACACGUGAGUAACCUGCCCUUGACUUUGGGAUAACUUCAGGAAACUGGGGCUAAUACCGGAUAGGAGCUCCUGCUGCAUGGUGGGGGUUGGAAAGUUUCGGCGGUUGGGGAUGGACUCGCGGCUUAUCGGCUUGUUGGUGGGGUAGUGGCUUACCAAGGCUUUGACGGGUAGCCGGCCUGAGAGGGUGACCGGCCACAUUGGGACUGAGAUACGGCCCAGACUCCUACGGGAGGCAGCAGUGGGGAAUAUUGCACAAUGGGCGGAAGCCUGAUGCAGCAACGCCGCGUGCGGGAUGACGGCCUUCGGGUUGUAAACCGCUUUCGCCUGUGACGAAGCGUGAGUGACGGUAAUGGGUAAAGAAGCACCGGCUAACUACGUG